rnacentral:rRNA from 1 species
CGGCGGACGGGUGAGUAACGCGUGGGUAACCUGCCUCAUACAGGGGGAUAACAGUUGGAAACGGCUGCUAAUACCGCAUAAGCGCACAGUACCGCAUGGUACGGUGUGAAAAACUCCGGUGGUAUGAGAUGGACCCGCGUCUGAUUAGGUAGUUGGUGGGGUAACGGCCUACCAAGCCGACGAUCAAUAGCCGACCUGAGAGGGUGACCGGCCACAUUGGGACUGAGACACGGCCCAA